rnacentral:rRNA from 1 species
AGUUGGGAAUCUUGGACAAUGGGGGAAACCCUGAUCCAGCCAUGCCGCGUGAGUGAUGAAGGCCUUCGGGUUGUAAAACUCUUUCGACGGGGACGAUAAUGACGGUACCCGUAGAAGAAGCUCCGGCUAACUUCGUGCCAGCAGCCGCGGUAAUACGAAGGGGGCUAGCGUUGUUCGGAAUUACUGGGCGUAAAGCGCGCGCAGGCGGUUUUCCAAGUCAGUGGUGAAAGCCCGGAGCUCAACUCCGGAACUGCCAUUGAAACUGUUAAACUUGAGGACGAGAGAGGUGAGUGGAAUUCCCAGUGUAGAGGUGAAAUUCGUAGAUAUUGGGAAGAACACCGGUGGCGAAGGCGGCUCACUGGCUCGUUUCUGACGCUCAGGCGCGACAGCGUGGGGAUCAAACAGGAUUAGAUACCCUGGUAGUCCACGCCGUAAACGAUGAUUGCUAGCCGUUGGGCAGCUUGCCGUUCAGUGGCGCAGCUAACGCAUUAAGCAAUCCGCCUGGGGAGUACGGCCGCAAGGUUGAAACUCAAAGGAAUUGACGGGGGCCCGC